GAAAUGCGAUAAGUAAUGUGAAUUGCAGAAUUCCGUGAAUCAUCGAAUCUUUGAACGCACAUUGCGCCCUCUGGUAUUCCGGGGGGCAUGCCUGUCCGAGCGUCAUUGCGAACCCCUCAAGCACGGCUUGUGUGAUGGGCCCUCCCGCGUCUUGGUCGUCAAGACGGGCCCGAAAAGCAGUGGCGGCUUCGCGGUUAUCCGAUCAGCCAGAGCGUAUGGGGACUUUCUCUCUGUCACACGCCCGCGGCGCGGACCGACGCCUGUCGACCUUUAUUCAUCUUUUUCUCGGUUGACCUCGGAUCAGGUAGGAAGACCCGCUGAACUUAAGC
rnacentral:misc_RNA from 1 species